rnacentral:lncRNA from 1 species
CAACUUAGAGAAACUGGGAGCAGACAGCCACACCCAUCUUUCUUUUUUUUCCAGAAACACAAGACCUUUGAUUCUUUUCAGAAUGAGGUUUUGCAAAGCGAGCUGACUGAAAAGGCUUGAAAAAAGCACAGUCAAGAAAAUGCAAGGCAAACAUGAAACCCCCGGCUUACUGAGAGAGGAGGGUCUCCGUAGGCUCUAUCUAGCAAGAUCUGAACCUCCAGGUGAAGUAGGGAAUGGGUACCACUAUGGGAAACCUGAAUGCAAGGAACACCUUUACAUCAGAAAUCUUUAAGAAAGGAGGCAGGACUCUGAAUGAAGAAUAGAGGUGGAGGGAGGCCGGCCCAGCCCAGUGGUGCAGCAGUUAAGUUGGCACAUUCCGCAGCCCGGGGUUCGCCGGUUCGAAUCCUGGGUGCAUGGCACUACUUGGCAAAAGCCACACUGUGGUAGGCAUCCCACAUAUAAAGUAGAGGAAGAUGGACAUGGAUGUUAGCUCAGGGCCAGCCUUCCUCAGCAAAAAGAGGAGGAUUGGCAGUAGUUAGCUCAGGGCUAAUCUUCCUCAAAAGAAAAAAGAAUAGAGGUGGAGGGUGAGCAGAGGCCAGGGACAGACAAGAGAAGGGGUUUAGGGGUCCAGAUCACUGAGCACCUAAGUCCUAUCCUGACGUCUGUUCUAUAUUUGGCUGGAGUAGGAG